rnacentral:rRNA from 1 species
UACGAAGGGGGCUAGCGUUGUUCGGAAUUACUGGGCGUAAAGCGCGCGCAGGCGGCUCUUCAAGUCAGGGGUGAAAGCCCAGAGCUCAACUCUGGAAUUGCCUUUGAGACUGAGUGGCUUGAGUACGAGAGAGGUGAGUGGAAUUCCCAGUGUAGAGGUGAAAUUCGUAGAUAUUGGGAAGAACACCGGUGGCGAAGGCGGCUCACUGGCUCGUAACUGACGCUCAUGCACGACAGCGUGGGGAUCAAACAGG